rnacentral:rRNA from 1 species
GACGAACGCUGGCGGCGUGCUUAACACAUGCAAGUCGAACGGAAAGGCCCUGCUUUUGUGGGGUGCUCGAGUAGCGAACGGGUGAGUAACACGUGAGUAACCUGCCCUUGACUUUGGGAUAACUUCAGGAAACUGGGGCUAAUACCGGAUAGGAGCUCCUGCUGCAUGGUGGGGGUUGGAAAGUUUCGGCGGUUGGGGAUGGACUCGCGGCUUAUCAGCUUGUUGGUGGGGUAGUGGCUUACCAAGGCUUUGACGGGUAGCCGGCCUGAGAGGGUGACCGGCGACAUUGGGACUGAGAUACGGCCCAGACUCCUACGGGAGGCAGCAGUGAGGAAUAUUGCACAAUGGGCGGAAGCCUGAUGCAGCAACGCCGCGUGCGGGAUGACGGCCUUCGGGUUGUAAACCGCUUUCGCCUGUGACGAAGCGUGAGUGACGGUAAUGGGUAAAGAAGCACCGGCUAACUACGUG